AUACAUGCAGUCGAGCGGACAGAUGGGAGCUUGCUCCCUGAUGUUAGCGGCGGACGGGUGAGUAACACGUGGGUAACCUGCCUGUAAGACUGGGAUAACUCCGGGAAACCGGGGCUAAUACCGGAUGGUUGUUUGAACCGCAUGGUUCAGACAUAAAAGGUGGCUUCGGCUACCACUUACAGAUGGACCCGCGGCGCAUUAGCUAGUUGGUGAGGUAACGGCUCACCAAGGCGACGAUGCGUAGCCGACCUGAGAGGGUGAUCGGCCACACUGGGACUGAGACACGGCCCAGACUCCUACGGGAGGCAGCAGUAGGGAAUCUUCCGCAAUGGACGAAAGUCUGACGGAGCAACGCCGCGUGAGUGAUGAAGGUUUUCGGAUCGUAAAGCUCUGUUGUUAGGGAAGAACAAGUGCCGUUCAAAUAGGGCGGCACCUUGACGGUACCUAACCAGAAAGCCACGGCUAACUACGUGCCAGCAGCCGCGGUAAUACGUAGGUGGCAAGCGUUGUCCGGAAUUAUUGGGCGUAAAGGGCUCGCAGGCGGUUUCUUAAGUCUGAUGUGAAAGCCCCCGGCUCAACCGGGGAGGGUCAUUGGAAACUGGGGAACUUGAGUGCAGAAGAGGAGAGUGGAAUUCCACGUGUAGCGGUGAAAUGCGUAGAGAUGUGGAGGAACACCAGUGGCGAAGGCGACUCUCUGGUCUGUAACUGACGCUGAGGAGCGAAAGCGUGGGGAGCGAACAGGAUUAGAUACCCUGGUAGUCCACGCCGUAAACGAUGAGUGCUAAGUGUUA
rnacentral:rRNA from 1 species